GGCGAACGCUGGUGGCGUGCCUAAUACAUGCAAGUUGAGCGCUGAAGGUUGGUACUUGUACCAACUGGAUGAGCAGCGAACGGGUGAGUAACGCGUGGGGAAUCUGCCUUUGAGCGGGGGACAACAUUUGGAAACGAAUGCUAAUACCGCAUAAAAACUUUAAACACAAGUUUUAAGUUUGAAAGGUGCAAUUGCAUCACUCAAAGAUGAUCCCGCGUUGUAUUAGCUAGUUGGUGAGGUAAAGGCUCACCAAGGCGAUGAUACAUAGCCGACCUGAGAGGGUGAUCGGCCACAUUGGGACUGAGACACGGCCCAAACUCCUACGGGAGGCAGCAGUAGGGAAUCUUCGGCAAUGGACGAAAGUCUGACCGAGCAACGCCGCGUGAGUGAAGAAGGUUUUCGGAUCGUAAAACUCUGUUGGUAGAGAAGAACGUUGGUGAGAGUGGAAAGCUCAUCAAGUGACGGUAACUACCCAGAAAGGGACGGCUAACUACGUG
rnacentral:rRNA from 1 species